UAGGAAGUGGAAUUUGGAAGAGCGAGAGCGAAUCAUGAUGACUGGGAUUGAUAUCAAACUAAGUCUACUACGAAGAAGAAUGGUUGUUAGGGGAGUUAACGGUUGAAUGGUAGGCCUAUAAUUAUUCUGAUAAGAAGGCAAAAGGGUGGCUUCUGCUUGCGUUCCUUCAACCUUAAAAGUAUUCAGCCACAAAGCUGAUUUUCUAGGGUCUGUUAUACUUAUAACGAUUGAGGUUGAGGUACUGGCCGAAGCAGUGGUGAGCGGCUGAAGACUAAUUAAGAGAGGUAGUCUAUGAAGCAUGAGAUUAGGUGUGUCGCAAUUAAGUCAUAUGUCCAAUAUUUUUUAUUAUUUUGUAAAAAAUCAGAUCUAACGAUCCCAAAGUCCUGCAGCCACCGCCUCCAUGUCCCCCGCCGUGCGGCCGCAUAUUUAUAGCAAUAUGGAUGAGAGCACGCAUAGGAUGAUGAAAGCGUGCAGGUCGACCGGCGGUGCACGGGACGACGACGAUGCCCAGGACGGUGGCAAACGAUGGGACGACAGUGGUCGCAACAUGAACUCUUAUCUGCGUUUUAAGCUUUGGAAAAAGUUUACUGUACACAUGAUAUCUUGGCGAUUCGAUACAAAGAAAAAACGAGUUAAGUUUUUUUUACAACCAUAAAAAUAAUAGACAAUUGGCUUGAUCUAGAAUGUGUGAUUUAUCUAAGGGACGAAAUUAUUUGAAAGAUAGGGUACACUUUCUAUCUAAAGGCAGAUAAUUUGAAUUCAUUCCACACUAAGUAAAACUUGUUUUUCUUUCCUAGACUCAAAAACAGACACACCUUAGACUCAAAAACAUUAAAUUUAAAGAUUUAUCAAAGCAAUGAUGAUUAAUGAUAAGGGUCAAAAAUAUGAAAUUUAAUUGCAAUAUGUUUUCGUUUUUCGGUGAUA